CGGCUUGGCGCGGGCGCCGGGGCCGCCGGAGUUGGCCCCUCCGGUGGUAGCGCGGGGAGGCACGGCGCGGAAGGGAGGAGGGCGGCGCUCGAGGUCGCCGACAUCCGGCAAGGCCGCAGCGAGGGAGCCGAACGGAGGCGGGCGACGGGAGGCUGCAGGGGCGACGCGCUCGGGGAGAGGGAGAGUGGGGAUCGGGAACGAGGGGGAUGGAGCUCGCGGGCGCCAUUGACACCCAGUGCAUUGGGAUGGAUGCAGGAGAGAUAAGUGGCAUGGAAGAAGCCCUGGAAUGAUGAUUCUCACCAUGGUUCUUCAGAUAAGUGCUGGCGUUGCUUCUUCAGAUAAGAGGUGCUCAAUGAUCUCACCAUGGUUCUCGGCUCCAUAGCACAGAGUGCAGAGGAGUAGCAGCAAUAGCAGCACGGGCAGGAUCAGAAGAGGAGAAGCAGCACGGGCAGGGUCAGAGGAGGAGCAGCAGCACAGGCAGGGGAGAGGGAGCAGCAGCAGCAGCACAGGCAGAUCUCCACCGGCGAGCUCCUGGUCCACCAGAUUGUCGAGGCAAGCUCCGGCGAUGCCAGUAGGGGAUCGCGGCGGCGCACGCGCGGGAGCUCCAGGAGGAUGCGCGGGAGCACGAGGGAGGACGCACGCGGGGGCUCCAGGAGGAUGCGCGGGGGCUCCAGGAGGGAAGCGCGCGGCCUCGAGGAAGACGUGGCAGGAGAUUCCGGCGAAGCCCGCAGGCAGCGGGAGGAGACCACGGCGGCGCAGGUCUGGGCUGCGGCGGUAGAGGAGGUAAUUGGCGAAGGCGGCGAGAGCAG